AUUGAACGCUGGCGGCAGGCCUAACACAUGCAAGUCGAACGAGUGGCGGACGGGUGAGUAAUGUCUGGGAAACUGCCUGAUGGAGGGGGAUAACUACUGGAAAAGGUAGCUAAUACCGCAUAACAUCAGAUGUGCCCAGAUGGGAUUAGCUUGUUGGUGGGGUAAAGGCGCACCAAGGCGACGAUCCCUAGCUGGUCUGAGAGGGUGACCAGCCACACUGGAACUGAGACACGGGCCAGACUCCUACGGGAGGCAGCAGUGGGGAAUAUUGCACAAUGGGCGCAAGCCUGAUGCAGCCAGGCCGCGUGUGUGAAGAAGGCCUUCGGGUUGUAAAGUACUUUCAGCGGGGAGGCGGUACCCGAACAAGAAGCACCGGCUAACUCCGUGCCAGCAGCCGCGGUAAUAC
rnacentral:rRNA from 1 species